CCUCUUUUCAUCGGGAUCGGAAACACCUAUAUCAGCCCUGCCGGGCUUGCUCCGGCUAUGGCAAUAAACGGUCGGUGUAAUAAACCUAUUGGACCCGGGGGCGGUACCCGGCGCCUCCACCAAAAACCGGUCGGUGACGAAAUCUCUUCGGACCGGCUUUUGAUGGGGGCGAAAUAGGAUCGACAAGGGCGUAAAGAUCGAACUUUUGCUCGGCAUGAUACCGCCGUUAUCGGGUCACAAGUGUAGUUGCAAACGACAACAACGCUAAGGGUUACGCUCUCGCUGCCUAAUGGCGGUGCGGGAAACCCGCUCUAAGUCCUUAGGGUUAGCACCUUAAGGCGGGGUCCGAAGGCACCUGGCAACAGAAGCCUUCACC
rnacentral:tmRNA from 1 species